rnacentral:rRNA from 1 species
UGCUUUUGACGGGUAACGGGGAAUUAGGGUUCGACUCCGGAGAGGGAGCCUGAGAAACGGCUACCACAUCCAAGGAAGGCAGCAGGCGCGCAAAUUACCCAAUCCCGAUACGGGGAGGUAGUGACAAGAAAUACCGAUUCAGGAUCUUAUUGGAUCUUGAGAUUGGAAUGAGUACAAUUCAAACCCAUUAACGAGGAACAACUAGAGGGCAAGUCUGGUGCCAGCAGCCGCGGUAAUUCCAGCUCUAGUAGCGUAUAUUAAAAUUGUUGCAGUUAAAACGCUCGUAGUUGAACUUUGGGCUUGGCUGGCUGGUCCGCCUCACCGCGUGCACUGGUCCGGCUGGGCCUUUCCUCUUGGGGAUCCACAUGCCCUUCACUUGGGUGUGUUGGGGAACCAGGACUUUUACUUUGAAAAAAUUAGGGUGUUCAAAGCAGGCAUUUGCUCGAAUACAUUAGCAUGGGAUAAUAGAAUAGGACGUGUGGUCUUAUUUUGUUGGUUUCUAGGACCGCCGUAAUGAUUGAUAGGGAUAGUUGGGGGCAUCGGUAUUCAAUUGUCAGAGG